rnacentral:snRNA from 1 species
CCGGGAAAUCAAGAAACGA